AUUGAACGCUGGCGGCAGGCCUAACACAUGCAAGUCGAGCGGUAGCACAGAGAGCUUGCUCUCGGGUGACGAGCGGCGGACGGGUGAGUAAUGUCUGGGAAACUGCCUGAUGGAGGGGGAUAACUACUGGAAACGGUAGCUAAUACCGCAUAACGUCGCAAGACCAAAGUGGGGGACCUUCGGGCCUCAUGCCAUCAGAUGUGCCCAGAUGGGAUUAGCUGGUAGGUGGGGUAACGGCUCACCUAGGCGACGAUCCCUAGCUGGUCUGAGAGGAUGACCCGCCACACUGGAACUGAGACACGGUCCAGACUCCUACGGGAGGCAGCAGUGGGGAAUAUUGCACAAUGGGCGCAAGCCUGAUGCAGCCAUGCCGCGUGUGUGAAGAAGGCCUUCGGGUUGUAAAGCACUUUCAGCGGGGAGGAAGGCGGUGAGGUUAAUAACCUCACUGAUUGACGUUACCCGCAGAAGAAGCACCGGCUAACUCCGUGCCAGCCGCCGCAGUAA
rnacentral:rRNA from 1 species